UGGCGAAGUUGACAAUAUGGCGACAGACUUCAAGUGAGCACAUGAGAUGAAAAACAAACACUCUUGUCUGCUAAUCAUAAGCAAAGAAAUAAUUACAAAUAAGCAAAAACCCCAACCCCCUAAAAUGACUUUUAAAAAGCCUGUUUGUCAGAGCACAGACAUUUAUACUGUUGGCAACAUUACACUCACUCCAAAAUGUGUAAAACAACAAGAAAAUAAUAAUUUCUAAAUCUAGUCACGUCGGCACCGGUUCAGUCAAUUCGACACGUAGUCAAAUCGGCCCUUGGUUAAUUCGCACCCGAGGAAAUAAUUUCAACACUCAUUAUUAACAUUUUAAUGUACAAAUUAACCUCUUGUUUUUUAUAUUAGUGAGUGUCUGUACGGACUCGCAGCCAAAGUUGGCCUUCGUACGCUAUGCAUACCCACAGGUGUUUGAAAUCCUAUCAAUAACGGGGUAUAAAUAUACCAAACUCGACUAUCACAGUAGAGCUUCUCUCGAGGCUUCUCUCUUUGAGAGAAGCUCUACUGUGAUAGUCGAGUUUGGUAUAUUUUUACCCCGUUAUUGAUAGGAUUUCAAACACCUGUGGCGUACCAGCAACCAAUUUUCAUAAUAAACUGUCAUCUGAUCAUGAAUGAAUGAAACAAGAAAGAUACACGAAUAUUAUUGGUUAUUUCAUGAUUUUGUGACUUAAGUGAAGAUAAUGGGGUGGGGGGGGGGGGAGGGGGCACACCUAUAUUGGGACUCUGGGAUCAGGUGUUUUUAAGCUCAGAACUUCAGGAUUGAUCCUUUCAGCAUCCAGGAAUUUAUGUUUUUAAGCCUGGCAUUUAGGGGUCAAGGCCCAUCCAACCCCCACCCCACCCCUCUCCUUCAGAUAAUGGCAAAUAUUUUUUUUUAAAUUAAUGUUAAUGUCUUAGAUAGAAAAAUAGAAAUUGAAUAUAAAUGCACAUAAAAAGAAUAAAAUUAUACUGAAUUUGAAUAAAUAUAUGAAUAUAAGCAUGAUAAGUUAAAAAAACUCAAGUGUGAAAGUUAUUUUCGAAACAGAUUUUUUUUUUUUAAAGAUCUAAAACGACAAAAAGUAAAGUUGGACAUUGUUUGAGUGUAAACACAAUUUAAAGUAAUAUGAUAAAAUUCCAUAUAUCUAAAACUUGAUGCAUUUGAUAAUUAUAUAUCCUUUCAGAACUCUGAAUUUAUUGUUUGCUUCUUCUAAUGUUGCACCUGAAAUAUUUUAAAAUAUUCAUGUUUUCUUAUAUCUGUAUAUAGGUUAAAAUGAAAAUUAAGUGUUAUGUAUGAUGAAUAAAUUUAUAUAUAUGAAUAGAUAAUCUAUUUUAUUUAUGAUCAUUAAUGUUAAGAACUUAAAAUGUUCUUAUUUGGUUUCAGUUUUUCUCUCUUGUAAUGCCUUAAUUAAUUUUAAUUUGACUCUCAUCUUAAAAAAUAUCGUAUAUUCCAUUAUUACUUAAUAUCAAUAAUUAUAAUUAAUAUUUAAAGAAAAAUAUUUAAAAAAAAACAGGAUCAUUUCUAUGAAACAUGACAUGAGUAAAAAUAAAACUGGUUUUGAACUUAACAUCUCUGUGAGUAAUAAAUUUUUUUCACCUAUUGCGAUAAUUUCCAGAUUCAUUCACAUUUUAUUCCAGAUCUGAUGACAUUAAAUUAUAAAGCCGGAGGCAGGUAUGUGUAGCCUAUGAAGGCCAAUUUGGCUAUGUGUACCCGCAUGUUGGUACGCGCAGACACUGCCUUUAUAUUAUCACUGAAGGUGUCAAUUAACCUAUAGGCUUUACUUGUUAGGCUGACAGCAGUUCUAAUGGAAACUCUUUAAACUAAUAUCUUUGGACAUACUUUUAUGUUUUAACAAUCCAAUGCUGAAGACAAUAUGAUUAUUGCGCUUUAGGUUCUCAUAUUAAAGUAACUAUAUAUAUAUAUCUAGCAAGUGGUACAACUCAUGUAAACAUAAGCCAACAAUCUAGCAAGUGGUAUAUAUAUUCUUGUGUAACUUAACCUUUUAAACUAAAUUUGAACAGGUGAAAAUGUAUCAUUUUUUUUUAAUGUAACAGUUUUCUUUGCUUAGGCCAAAAAAAAUAUAUGUCUGUUUCCUGUUGCCAAGGCAAAUAAAUCAGGGUUGGUAAACAUGGUAAAGGUCAGGAUUUUUUUUUUUUAUAAUUUUUUUCAGCACUCUGUUAGAUUUGCAGUCAGUUCAGUGUCAUAUUUGGUUAGGGCCCUGUACCCCAAAAUGAAUUAAUGUCUUUAAAGAAGCUUUAAUUGACUUCUCCAGUGCUGACAUUUUUUAAACCUUAAUUGUAGCACAUUUGUACAGGGAGCAGCCAUUUUGAUUGUUUGGGCAUGGUAAGAUACGGAUCUGGAUAGGACCGGAAACAAUUUUUUUUCUUCAAAAUUUAAAGAAAAAAAACUAGGGUCAGAGUUUUCAGUCAAGGUCGGCCGGGAACAGGAAACAGACAUAUUUUUUUUGGCCUUAUGUACUUUUAAGGAACACUUUUGUCUAUUAAAAUAUGCAGCUUACGAAAAUAACAAAAUUUAAUUUCAGAACUGCAAGACCGGUUGAAUAUUACAGAAAAUAUUUAGUAAGUAUUAUAUGAUAUUGUACAUAUUUAUUUACAGAACUUGGUAUUAAAUAUGAUUUAAAAUUUUUCAUGAUUUUUAGUUGUUUUAUUUAAAAGUAUAAUAAAACCAGGCAAAAGAUGACUAACAGAAAAAGACACAACAAUUACAACUUCUCAAAUAUGAAAUCACUCUUUUCAGUAGAAAGGCAGAAAUUUAUGACACAUUUAAGCAUGUUAAGUUCAUUCAUCAUAUUGAAAAAAUUGAAGUAUGACUGUAUGAUCUAACAGGAAGUAGGUAUCAGACAGAACUGAAAAGCCCACAUGUAACAAAACUUAUAACUGAUAACUGUUAAGCUGCUGAACAAUAUCAAGUCAUUCUAAUUAGUUUCUGAGAAAAGUGUGACAGAAAUAUUUGUGGAGAGAUGGGCAAUAGAGGUAUAUAGUAUACUUCAUCUACAUUAUUUUGAAAUUGAAUUAAAAAAAAAGAAGUGUAAUAUGCUAAUUGACAUAUGAUGUGAAGCGAAACAUAAAUUUCUAUUGGAAUACCCUGUCCAUACUUAUCUUAUGACUGUGCUUUAUUAAGUUAAAAAAAAAGAAUAAUUAACUUCAGUAAGUGACAGUAAAGUGAAGAUAUUGCCAUCAUUGGUAACAGACUUUUCACGUCAGGUUUAACCUUUAUAGCCCCAUCUAUAUAAAUAUGAUAUAGAAAUCUGUAAAGGGUGUAUUUGAUGUUUUUGAUGUACAUGUAUGGUUGUUUUUAUUAGGAACAAGAUGUUAGACCUGAUGGAAGAGAUCUUGGAGAAUUUAGAAGAACUGUACUAAACAUUGGUUUGUAAAUUAUAUCAUUUGUUGUAAUACUAUUGUAAUAAUAUUCAUCAUACAUCUUUUACAUUUCUGAUGGGGUAUUGCAUAAAACACAUAUUAUUUGAAGAUGGCUAUGAGGGGUUGAAGGUAUGUUUUAUAUAAGACUUAUGACAUGUAUGAAGUCAUGACCGAUUUUGAAAUCUUCAAAAGUUAUUUGUAUUGUGAAAACUAUUAGGACCUCAAUCAUCCUUGUUUUAUUAAAACUAGUACAUGGCUGUCCCAAAGGACAGGUUUUUUUCUAGAAUAGCUCUCAGUACUUUUUGGUAUACAUGAACUUGCUUACUUCUUACAAUUGCAAUAAUUCAUGGAAAACCGGUUUUAAUUUAUAAGGAAAGCAAGGAAUUUGAUAAAUCUCAAUGUUUAAGAUGUACAUGUAUGCCAGGAAAGGUCUGCAUAUGGUUUAAAUAGUGCAAGAUCAUGUAAAUUUUUACCUUGGUUUAUUGUUAGUUUCAAAUUAAAUUUAUACCACAAGUACAGAGUUAAAGUCAUAUGAAACGAGUGACCGGUGAAAAAUAAUCUUUAUCCAAUUCUUGAACCAACACAUGUAUAUAUCAUAAACUGAGUCUUCUGUGCAUGAUUGUAUACUUUUUAUACGCAACCAUUUUGUAUAAUCGUCAAUUUUUUUUUCUAUCUAAUGAACAUGAUGAAGUGAAAAUAUGGCAGCUACUUAAAUGUCAUGUUUAGAAGCCAAAGUUUAUCGAUUGACAACUUAUAGUAAACAAUCAACAAUUAAAAGUGGAUAUUGAGCACACGUGUUUAACAUGUACAAUCAGAUAAUAGUUUAUUUUAAGGACAGAUCAUUGCGUAUUACGAUCACUGAAUUUUUACAAUAGGGUCACACUGAGGUAACUAUGCAUACGGAAAAUAUAUAUCGGGGAAUUGCUUUCUGGAAACAUGCAAUUCAAAUAAAGUAAACUUCUUCUAAAUAUGAACAAAUUCAAGAAUGUUCUUCAAAAAAAAGUAUAUGUACGUGUACAUAAGUUUUAUAAUGAAAACUAUCUAUUUAGUUAUAAAAAUCAUAUGCAUUAUUUUUUUUUUUAAUUUGAGGUCUUAUAUGACUUUAAUCUUGAUUCCUGUAUUGUGAUAUUUUGAUACUUUAGGAUGUGUGACAACAGCGGAUGGAUCUGCACUGGUCAAGUUGGGCAAUACUACAGUAAUGUGUGGUAUUAAAGCUGUAAGUACAGAAUGAACCAAACAUUUUACUUGUUAUUAAGCUAAUCAGAAUUAAAUAUCACAUUCAAGAUAGGUAGGUAAG
rnacentral:lncRNA from 1 species